CAGCCUGAGGCCUACGUCAAAGGUUCCCCAGAGCUUGUGGCCAGCCUCUGCAGCCCCGAGACAGUGCCCAGAGACUUUCCUCAGGUACUGCAGAGCUACACAGCUGCUGGCUACCGAGUUGUGGCCCUGGCUGGCAAGCCACUGCCCACUGCGCCCAGCCUUGAGGCCGCUCAGCAGCUGACAAGGGACACUGUGGAGCAGGAGCUGAGCCUCCUGGGGCUGCUGGUCAUGCGGAACCUGCUGAAGCCACAGACGACCCCAGUUAUACAGACCCUGAGGAAGACGGGCAUCCGUACUGUUAUGGUGACAGGUAUUACAGCCUGGGUCUCUGUGAGGAGGGCACACCUGCCCUGUCCUGGCGAAAGGGUGGCUUCCCAGCAUCCCCUGCUGCAGCAUCUUUGUGAAGCCAGACCCUUCCCCAUCUUUCCAUCACAUGUGUCACUGUCACCUACAUCUGACAUGAGCUCGGAGCUCUGGGGCUCAGAGUGGCAUGAGUCCCUAAGAGUGAGGGGACAACCUGCAGACAGCAGUCACGGUGGCCAAAGCGUGUGGCAUGGUGGGCACCCAGGAGCACCUGGCUAUCAUCCAUGCCACCCACCCUGAGCAGGGCCAGCCUGCUGCCCUUGAGUUCCUGCCAACUGAGCCCUCUGCGGCCAUGAAUGGGGCAAAGGAUCCUGUGCAGGCCACGGACUACCCCGUGGAGCCGGAGUCCCAGUCCCGUCACCUGGCC
rnacentral:lncRNA from 1 species